rnacentral:rRNA from 1 species
UACAGAGGGGGCGAGCGUUGUUCGGAAUUACUGGGCGUAAAGGCGCGUAGGCGGCCUUCUAAGUCGAACGUGAAAUCCCCGGGCUCAACCCGGGAACUGCGUCCGAUACUGGGAGGCUUGAAUCCGGGAGAGGGGAUGUGGAAUUCCAGGUGUAGGCGGUGAAAUGCGUAGAUAUCUGGAAGGAACACCGGUGGCGAAGGCGGCAGUCCGUGGACCCGGUAUUGACGCUGAGGCGCGAAAGCCAGGGAGCAACGGG